CUCUAAGGAAGACCUGCCGGUUACAAACCGGAGAAAGGUGGGAAGACGUCAAAGUCAUCAAUGGCCCUUACGGCCUGGGCUACACACGUGCUACAAUGGAACGCACAGAGGGCAGCAAACCCGCGAGGGGGAACGAAUCCCACAAACGUUUCGUAGUCCGGAUCGGAGUCUGCAACUCGACUCCGUGAAGUCGGAAUCGCUAGUAAUCGUGAAUCAGAAUGUCACGGUGAAUACGUUCCCGGGCCUUGUACACACCGCCCGUCACACCAUGGGAGUGGGUUGCUCCAGAAGUGGUUAGCCUAACCUUCGGGAGGGCGAUCACCACGGAGUGAUUCAUGACUGGGGUG
rnacentral:rRNA from 1 species